rnacentral:rRNA from 1 species
CAGCAGCCGCGGUAACACCUGCAGCCCAAGUGGUGGUCGAUUUUAUUGUGUCUAAAACGUUCGUAGCCGGUUUGGUAAAUCUUUGGGUAAAUCGGGAAGCUCAACUUUCCGACUUCCGAAGAGACUGUCAAACUUGGGACCGGGAGAGGCUAGAGGUACUUCUGGGGUAGGGGUAAAAUCCUGUAAUCCUAGAAGGACCACCGGUGGCGAAGGCGUCUAGCUAGAACGGAUCCGACGGUGAGGGACGAAGCCCUGGGUCGCAAACGGGAUUAGAUACCCCGGUAGUCCAGGGUGUAAACGCUGCUCGACUUGGUGUUGGAGGCCCUUCGGGGGCAUUCAGUGCCGGAGAGAAGUUGUUAAGUCGGCUACUUGGGGAGUACGUCCGCAAGGAUGAAACUUAAAGGAAUUGGCGG